rnacentral:lncRNA from 1 species
UGAAUAUGCCAUGGCAAUGGAGUCUCAAUCAUCUAUCAGCUGAUUCAGAAGACCCAGACUUCCCAGGGAGUCGCACUUCCUCAGAACAGAGGUACUAGAUAAAGACCAUGAAGAACUCAUAAGGACAGAAGCUAUAUCAAGGCUUUACCCAGUGAGUGGUCAGCAUCGAGUUUGAUAUGUAUGUUGUCCAAAGCAGACAUAUCUCUCUUGCAGCCAGCACAGGGCUGCCACACCAGAUGUCCACUGAGGAGCUCUCUGUCAGCUUUAGCAACAUGAUAGAUUGACACAGGACAGAACCCAAAGGUCACCAAGAAGGGGAGCAGAAGAGAUGGAAACUUUGGACUAAGCCACAUAUGAAUAUGUUCUUAUUCUACCUGGCUAAUUUUUUAAACUAAUUCAUAUAUAAGAAUAAUUAAACAUUUGCAUCAAAACA